AUGGACGCACAGGAAAAGACCAUAUCAAUAAUAAAUAGAAAAGAGUCCAGAAAGGUGCAACACUGAUACUGAGCUGAGUUGGAGGAAAAUGAGGCUUGCGAUCUGCGCAGAAGGUGAUUGAAAUAACAGCACUGUCUGAUCAUGUGAAGACCAUGCGCCAAGCCACAGACUAUUGGUCCGUGCAUGUGAUCAAUGCAUGGGCUGGUGAGGGGAUGCUUUUGGUUAAACUGCUGCACCUUCUGAACAGUUUCAAUCAUAUUAAUU